rnacentral:snRNA from 1 species
GUGCUCACUUCGGCUGCACAUAUACUAAAAUUGGAACGACACGGAGAAGAUUAUCAUGGCCCCUGCACAAGGAUGACAUAAUUUUAAAUAAAAAACAAAAACAAAAA